AGGUCAUGUGAUGAGAAGAAAACUGCAACAAAAUGACCGAUUAGCGUCGUGAUUACCAGUAUUUAAGUCUCUGAUGAUU
rnacentral:snoRNA from 1 species